GAUAAACGCUGGCGGCGCACAUAAGACAUGCAAGUUGAACGGACUUAAUCGAAAUAUUUAUAUUUUGAAGCGGUUAGUGGCGGACUGGUGAGUAACGCGUAAGGAACCUGCCUAUCAGAGGGGAAUAACAGUGAGAAAUCAUUGCUAAUACCGCAUAUGCCAUAGAUAUCACAUGAUAACAGUGGGAAAGGAGCAAUCCGCUAAUAGAUGGCCUUGCGUCUGAUUAGAUAGUUGGUGGGGUAACGGCCUACCAAGUCGACGAUCAGUAGCCGGACUGAGAGGUUGAACGGCCACAUUGGGACUGAGAUACGGCCCAGACUCCUACGGGAGGCAGCAGUCGGGAAUAUUGCGCAAUGGAGGAAACUCUGACGCAGUGACGCCGCGUAUAGGAAGAAGGUUUUCGGAUUGUAAACUAUUGUCGUUAGGGAAGAGAAAGGACAGUACCUAAGGAGGAAGCUCCGGCUAACUACGUG
rnacentral:rRNA from 1 species